rnacentral:rRNA from 1 species
UACGUAGGCAGCAAGCGUUGUUCGGAAUUACUGGGCGUAAAGCGUGUGUAGGCGGUUGGGUAAGUCUGGUGUGAAAUCUCCUGGCUCAACUGGGAGGGUGCGCCGGAAACUGCUUGGCUAGAGUGCGGAAGAGGCGAGUGGAAUUCCCGGUGUAGCGGUGAAAUGCGCAGAUAUCGGGAGGAACACCAAUGGCGAAGGCAGCUCGCUGGGACGGUACUGACGCUGAGACGCGAAAGCGUGGGGAGCAAACAGG